AGCCCCAGGCAUAUCACCCAGUUACUCACUGAAGCUUAGCAGGGCUGAGCCUGGUCAGUACCUGGAUGGGAGACCACAUGGGAAAGCUAGGUUGCAGUUG
rnacentral:rRNA from 1 species